CUCUCUCUCUCUCUCUCUCUCUCCUCUCUACUUCCAUCAUCACCGUCAUUUCUGAGCCUCUCCUCUGAAUUCAACUACACACGCACAUACACACUCUCUCUCUCUAAAAAUGGGUUCGGGCUCUAGUCGACUGGGAAGGCGCUCAUCACGGGCCCGAGUGAAUCGCAGUAACCUCUCCAACUUCUUCUCUUCUAUCAUCUGCGGUGGCUCCUCUUCUCGCGCU
rnacentral:misc_RNA from 1 species